AAAGCAAUAGCCUGCACGGCAAUUAGACCCCGUAAAUUACAGAGCCUGCCUGUCAGCCGGCUGGGCGCUAUCUCAUUAGCCCGCGUGCCAGAGACGCUACACGCCCUGCCGGGAGCCGCCCCGUUGCCAAGCGCCUGCUCCAUAAUUAGACACAGAGUCCCGGCCUCGGCGAGGCGCCCACCCGCCCAUCCUGAGGGGCAGGUGCAGGUCACGGGCGGCCCGGCUGCGAGCCCUGCUCAGGGGAAGGGAGGUCAGAGCGCAGGUCUGAGUGGAGAGUCCCAGCCCUGCUGUGACCUUGGGAGGAGGUCUGGGAAGNCCUCGGGGAAGGAAGUGAAAGGGCAUGGGCCGAGGGCAGGGACCCCGCCUUCUCUCCACUGGACACCCGGUACCGGGAGCAAUGGGCCAGACGGGCUUCCCGGGAGACUCUGGGCUGGAGGUGGACUCCAGGAAGGUCAGGAGGUGGUGAAGUCUUUGCUCCAGGUUUGUCUGAGAACAUUUAAGCACCCAAGCCACCUAGCACGCGUGCGCACACACACACACACACACACACACACACUGGUUCUCAGUCACCCGUGGGCUGGUGGGGAUGGUACCUGGGGCCGGGAGAGGACUCAGGGCUGGGGCAAUACAGCCCCCGGAGGCCCCUGUAGCCAGAAUUACAGUAAGGGCUGGGCUGGCAGGCAGGUGCCCAAGAUGGAAAUAUAAGAUGUGUGUAGGAGAAAUCAUUCUCCAAGCCUCUUAGGGCAGAGAUGAGCACCCUUAAUGGUCAGGAAUGCUCCAGGGACGAGACAGUGGGGCUGGACACCACAGAGCUUGUGCUUUGCCAAGUGGAGGAUGCAGACUCCCUGGGAAGGCAAGAGGGCCCCGAGCUGGUCCCAGCAGCUCUCUGCCCACCCCCACGAAGCCCCCAGCCUCUCUUCUAGAUCCGCUUUGCACAGGUGAAGAGAGGCCCCCAGGGAGGGGUGCUGGGUGCCCGGCCUGCCCUGAUGCCCGCAGGUCUCCAGCCAACCACGACCGCCCGCCGAACGAGGGAGAACACUGCAGGUGCCCA
rnacentral:lncRNA from 1 species